rnacentral:rRNA from 1 species
AUUGAACGCUAGCGGGAUGCCUUACACAUGCAAGUCGAACGGCAGCGCGGACUUCGGUCUGGCGGCGAGUGGCGAACGGGUGAGUAAUGUAUCGGAACGUGCCCAGUAGCGGGGGAUAACUACUCGAAAGAGUAGCUAAUACCGCAUACGCCCUACGGGGGAAAGGGGGGGAUCGCAAGACCUCUCACUAUUGGAGCGGCCGAUAUCGGAUUAGCUAGUUGGUGAGGUAAAGGCUCACCAAGGCGACGAUCCGUAGCUGGUUUGAGAGGACGACCAGCCACACUGGGACUGAGACGCGGCCCAGACUCCUACGGGAGGCAGCAGUGGGGAAUUUUGGACAAUGGGGGAAACCCUGAUCCAGCCAUUCCGAGUGUGCGAUGAAGGCCUUCGGGUUGUAAAGCACUUUUGGCAGGAAAGAAAUCGCAUCAAUUAAUACUUGGUGUGGAUGACGGUACCUGCAGAAUAAGCACCGGCUAACUACGUGCCAGCCGCCGCGGUAA